rnacentral:rRNA from 1 species
CUGAUACAGAAGUUAGAUCAAAUAUGUUGAAGCCGGCGGCAUCAUCUUCCUCGUGUGCCCGAUGUUGGGCGAUCAUCGCAGCAGUGCUGAUCCUGUGCGCCCCACACGCUGAGCUUGUCCAAGGAGGUGGAAGGCCGGUGCCGGCCCCUCCUGCUCCUGUAGCGCAGGAGAUGCCCUAGUUUCCCUGUCUGCAACAACAAUCCAUCGCCUUCGCCGCCGCUUGCUCCUACUCCUCCCGCAGUGCCAGCGGCCAGACGUAAUUAAUUUAGCUUUGUUAUUAGUUGCAGCUUCGGCCUUGGGCGGCAGGCCGAUUGCAGAAAUUUCACCAUUUAAUUACAAGUCAAGUCAGGUUGCAAUACGACUUCAGAUUAUGGUACAGUACUUGUUUGUAAGGCAGAUUAAUUUGCCGACAUAUAUACUUUCAUCAAUAUUAUACGAUCCUAC